AGGUAAAAGUCGUAACAAGGUUUCCGUAGGUGAACCUGCGGAAGGAUCAUUUACCGGAAGUUUUGUCUGAAAAGACAUUCUUUCAACUAAACACUUGUGGAUUAUUUACAUCAUUUUGCUUUGGUCAAAUUUACCUGGCCCAAAGUUUAAAUUAAAACCUUUUAUUUUAACCUUGAUAGUCUGGAAUUGGAAAUAUUUUAAUUAUUUAAAACUUUCAACAAUGGAUCUCUUGGUUCUCGCAUCGAUGAAGAACGCAGC
rnacentral:misc_RNA from 1 species